CAGGAAGUUAGCUCGUGGCGGUCAGUGCCUGCAAAAGACACGAACACAACACAACACAACACAACACAACACAAAAAGCAGAUUCGAUUACGAGGCGGCUUGGUGCAGAUGCUUUAAGUGUCAAAGCUGUGUCUACUAAAAAAGAACAUCCAUUUGGUCAGAAGAAAUUCAACUUGGAUAAAAACAGUUUUAAUUGUCAGUUGAUGGAGUCAUUUGACGACAGCUUCUUUCUGUGAUUUCAACUUAAUAUGAAUGUACAGUUUUCAAAUCAAAUCUACCUGUUUAAUACAGGAUGCAAAUAACACUGACAUACACCUCAGGACAGAUGAGGAAAGUCAUCUGUUUGGGGGGUUUUGUGAUAAGUUGCAUGAUAACUGAGUAGCUUAAUUACAGGUUUUUAAUUUAAAAAUAAAAAUAAUAGUUACAAA